GAACACUGAUUCCUUAUGGUUCUGGUUCUGGUUCUAUCUUUCUUUUGUUUGAUCUUCAUGUUUUGUAUUCUUAUUCUUUUAUGGUCUUUUGAUUUGGUUCUGGCUUAGACCGCCGUACAUGUGAAUUGAAAUAUGACACACUGUUUUCUGCAGUGUAGUGUGUUUUGAAACAAUAACAUUCUGAGUAGCAUCAAGCCUCAGGUUUAUUUUGCUACCAUGUACUUGGGUUGUGAACUAUUUUUAUUUUCAUUUCUAUUCUUAUUGUCUAGUCGAUUUACUUCUUUGUUCUAUGUUUGGUUUUUUUAUCUGAAUUCUGACAGUGCAAAAGUUUACAUGACUCUUUAGGAGUUGAGACAACUUGGUGGUCCUCUCUUUGUAAUGUUGAUCUGCGACUUGGUUUGAAGAAUUAUGCAACUAUUCUUUCUUUCUUCUUGUUUAUUACUUUACAACCUAUUUUUCACAGCGUAAUCAUGCUUUCUGUAAAUGUAUCAUGUGUUUUGAAAAAAUAACAAAAACGAUGUUUUCUGGCUUUGAUACAUGAACCUGACUGAUUCUGAUGAUUUAUUUGUUAGGGAUAACUUAACUUUGUCGGGGGAGGUUUCUAUAUCUUCUUUAUUGUUUUGUUGUUUUUAUUUUGAUUUGUGAUUUAUGAUGAUGAUGAUACACCUAUUAAGUUACCCUCUUCAUUACAGUGGCCAAAGGACUCCUCUGUAUUAGGUGGAAGCCAAAAUUGUAUUAUUUAAUAUGGCACAUGAUCUUGCAAAUUGGAUGGAAAUAUGUGUACUCUUUUUUAUAUAAUUGAUCAUUCAAUAAAUUUGCUAUCGCUCGAACCUGUUCCUAAGUCAGUUUAGGAUUUGGUUGGUGUUCCGACAUCCCGAAUCGAGGUGGGCUCUAAACUCAGGUUUACCUACCUCUCUAGUUAAAGAGAGAAGAUAGGGCUUCAAAAUCAAAUUCCCUCUCCUAAGUGCUUGCUGGUUCCGGACUCCCAAUCUUGGUUGGCUGUCAUUUCCAGAGGAGUUGGACUGCUUUCCACUGAUAGUAUCCAACAAGGUCGCCAUUGACCAGUACAGCAACUGAAAGUCAGGGUAUUGUACCCUAAAAGGCAGAGUUGGAAUACUUAAUUGGUUCAAAUCCAAUAGUAGUUAAAAUAAAAUGAAUAUCUGUUAUUCGUUGAUCCAAUUUUGCAGUGAGCUUAUUUCUGAUUUUUUAUAUCUGGAACAGUUUGCAAUUCUCGAUGAUAAUGGCUACAGAUACAUAGAUCAAAUUUCUUUGAUGAGUAAUUCUUUAUUAUUUUUACUUUUGAGCUUUGAAUGUAAGACAACAAUUGAAUUUUGUGUACCUGUUCUUAUGCAGUGUGGUUUUCUCAAAAUAAUGAUGUUCUUUCUUCAUAGCAUGGAGCCUCAGUGCAACGUAUUUUGGAACAAUAAUAUUUGAGUAGUAUCAAGCCUCAGGUUUAUGUUGGAACCUCUACUUGUAAUGUGAAAUAUUUUCAUUUCGUUUUUUAUCUACUGAUUCUUAUUGUCUAGUCUUCUGGAUUUUCUCCUUUAUGAUUUACCAUUAAUACUUAUUUUUUCUUUUGAAUGUUCACAUACUUCCCGUUCAGCCUAUAAUGUGUAGCUUUCUGGGAUCCUGUGGCAGGAAGAGGUUCACAUACUUUCUGCUCAGCCUUGGGAUAGUGUUGGAGCAUGAGUGUGAAGCAUUUAAGAUUCCAGAGUAAAUCUCUUUGCCAUCCCUAAGGAUGAGGAAUUAUUGACAAGCUUGGUUUGGCACUUUUUUGUCCUGUUGAUUUGCCACUUCCUUUGUUAUAAUUUAUUGUUCAUAUCAAAUUUUAACUGCCAUGCUUAAUGUUGCUUCCUUUUGUUUUAAAUAAGUUAAUGAUGGUUCCAUGUGAUAUAUAUAUAUAUAUAUAUUGUAAUUACCUCAUUGGAGUCAAUCAAGUUAGCAAUCCUUGCAAGCUCCUCAAUGAUCCGCUGGUUUACUCCAAUCCGUGGUCCAAUAUGAUUUUAUAUCCUACUAUAUACAAAUGGAUUUGGUAGAUAGGUAAACAGAGAGAGUGAUUGAUUGUAAAAUUGAUAUAUUAUACAAAAGGGUUAUAGUGUUCUUCAUCCUCUUGAACUACUCAAGACAACACUAAAUCUUUAUGUUUUCCAUUUUUCGCUUUUAUUUUCCAAUUUUUUCCUUGAGGAAAUUUUCAACGACACUUUAGACAUAUGAUGAGACAUGUCAUUUAUUUCUUAAUGAAUGCAACGAAAUGUACUAAGUGAAUGCAACGAAAUGUACUUUGGUCUCCUAAUUGGUCAUGUUUUUUUAUAUGUUUAUGUAUUUGUUUUCGAAGAAUUGUUCUUAGCUUGUGGACAGGCUGGUGUUGAAGUUUGUGUUUCUUCUGGUGUUGGAGUUUGUGUGUUUCAGUAUCCGGAACCUGCUCUUCCCAAGAUGAAGAAUUUUGGACGACUUGGUUACAUCGCAGGUGUUGUUUGUUCGUUAGGAGAGGUUUUCUAUAAUCUUCUUUUACUUUACUGGUUUCUUUUGUUAUUUGUGAUUUGGAUGAUGUUGACGGUGAUACUCCUAAGAAGAUAUCCUUUUCAUUACAGUGGCCCGGGACUCCUGUGUUAGGAGGAAGCCAAAAUUGUGUCACACAUAAUCUGCAGGCUUUAAUUUGGUUAUCUCUUCUAAGACACCUAAUAAGAUACCCUCUUCAUUAGAGUGGCCAAAGGACUCCUCUGUAUUAGGUGGAAGCCAAAAUUGUAUUAUUUAAUAGGGCUACAUGAUCUUGAAAAUUGGAUGGAAAUUUGGUCAACUCUUCUAAGAAUCUUUACAUUUAAAUCUUUUUUUGAUACUCAUCAUAUACUUUUGUCGAUUCCUGAGUUUUCUUUUUGGGUGUUGCAGGGGAGAGAGUCUAUAAAUAUGUGCUUCACUGUGGAACCCAUGGCAGACAGAGGUUCACUGUUUCUUUUUUUACUUGUUACUUUUGUCUCCUGAUGUUGAGGUUUGAUUUGGUUCAUAUUUUAAUGUUCUGCGCCUACUAUGAAUUGUUUGGGUUUUAAUUAAUAGCUCUUCCAAUUCUCGUUUGAUUAUAUGUGUACUCUUUAACAUUCUAGAGUAAAUCUCUUUGCCAUCCCCAAGGAUGAGGAAUUCUUGACAAGCUUGGUUUGACUCUUCUUUUACUCAUCAAGAUUUUGUUUUGUAUAAUUUUUUGAUAUAACACUUUGUUUGAUAAUCGAGAGAUGCAUUUAUCUGUUUUGCAGAGGGCUAAAAAGUUUCGAUGUCCAGAAUGACUUGAUAAAAUGGACAAGGGCGGAGAAUGAUUCAAUAUAGAUAAAUUAAAUUUCUUUAAUAUGAUUCGUUCUUUACUAUUUUUAUUUAUGUUUUGGCUUUGAUUUUAAGAAGUGCAAAUUGAAUUUUGAACAUGUUUGUCUAGUUGGAUUUUGUGAUCUCUAUUAAAUUCUUUCCGUUUUAAAAAAUUCUUCUAUUCUAUAUUCCUCUUGUUUGAUCUUCGCGUUCUGUAUUCUUAUUCUUUUCUGGUUGAUAAUUUGGUAUUUUGGUUGUGGUUGGAUUCGUUCUUGGAGUUUGCUGGUUUUAUUUUAAUGAUUUGAUAUUAUUAUCGAGUUCAGUAUGGUUUUAAUUGAAUUGUUCUUCUAAUUCCACUUAUGCUUCAGAUAUUAUUCUUCGUACAGAUGGGUGUUACCCCAUGACACUGAAAUCAUGUGUAGGUGAUGACUUCUUCACGUUCCUACAUCAAAGAAAUUUUACCCCAUCCCCUACACAUGAUUCACACAUGAUUCACACUGAAAUCUUUCAACAUUCGUGUCUACCUAAAUCUUCUUUUAUCAUGUCUACAUAACCUUGUUAGACAGAUGAAAUUUAAGUGAUAGGAACAUGAAAGCUAAAGGAGAAACUGGGGGGUAAUUUACAAAAAAAUCUCUUUCUUUUGAUAAUAUUUUCGGAUCUUUGUAACAUGCAGAAGAGUAAGCAUCGUCAAUACCGAGAGAAAGUUCACUAUCUUCAAGGUAAGCAUCGUCAAUACCGAGAGAAAGUUCCUGAAUCUCUGAAGCUUCAGAGAAAGCGUAAGAACAACGAUGAAGCUACAGAAACUGUUGUAGUCGAUAAUGCGGAAGCUAGAGCACCGAGGGAGCUGAAUAUGGAGCUGAGGAAGAACAAGUAGAAGAAGGUGAAGCUCGCAGAGAGUUCGGAAUCGGUUACGGUAACCGAUUCAGCUUCGGGUUCUGGUUCUGUUCCGGUUAGGAAGAAGGCAAUUAAGCAAUGUGAUUCGCAAUUGGAUCUUAUAAGAAUGGUUUUGGAAAGAGAAGUUGAGAAGAGAAAAAAGAACAAUAAUGAGAAUAAGAAAAAGAAGAAGAAGAAAAUAGAGAUGAAACUAGAAGAAGUUGAAUUCAAUGAAGGAGAAUUAAGGAGAGAGUUACCAAAUGGUGUUAUGGAAAUAUCACCAGCUUCAACACCUCUUGAUUAUAACAAUGUGAGCUCUCAUUGUGAUGUGAAAGUUGGUGUUGAUCAUAAUAGGGUUGUAGCUGUAACGCCACGAAACUUCAGGUCCAAGAAUGUUGAUAGGGUUGCUCUUGGAAAGUUGCAAGUUGUGCCUUAUGGACCAAGCUUGAAGAAAGUAAAUACUGAGAGGAUGUGUCACUUGUACCAGAGAAGUGAAUCGGUGAAUCUCGUCCAGUGUUCUAGCUGUAACAAGGAGUUUUUCUGCUUUGAUUGCAUUAGAGAGCGCUAUGACAUUCCUGACACUUCGGAUAAAAGUUCAAGCUGCUCGCUGUGUUUUGACACCGACGAUAUAACCAGUUGCAGAAAGCACGUGAGAGAGAAGAUCCAUCAGAUAAUUGCUUGCUCUGUCCCAUAGUUUUGGACUUCAAUGGUAGUAACUUUGAGCACUUUCAGAAACACUGGGGAAAGGGCCAUCCUAUAGUGGUCCAAGAUGUGCUCCAGAGUACAUCAAACCUCAGUGGGAAUCCACUGUUCAUGUUCUGUUAUUAUCUCGAGCAGAGUAUUACAAAGUACGAGAAUAAUAAAGAGUUACUUAUAUCCUGUUUGGAUUGGUGUGAGGUGGAAAUAAACAUUAGGCAGUAUUUUACUGGAUCCCUCAAAUGUCGUCCUCAGAGAAACACUUGGGCAUGAGAUGCUGAAACUGAAGGGAUGGCUGUCUUCCCAAGUAUUCAAAGAGGAGUUUCCAGCCCAUUUUUCUGAAGUAAUUGAUGCUCUACCAGUUCAAGAAUACAUGAAUCCCAUGUCUGGUCCUCUGAAUUUAGCUGCAAAGUUGCAACACGGGAGUGUGAAACAUGACAUUGGGCCAUAUGUCUAUAUUUCGUAUGGUUGUGCUGACAUAGAAGCUGAUUCUGUGAAAAACUCUGCUGCGACUCAUAUGAUGUGGGUUACAUGGAUUUGGUUUAUUUCACAAGUGUCCUUUCUCAAAUCUGCAACAUGUUAAUUUUUAUGUCCGAAGUGAAGAAAUUGGAGAUGAGUACCUCUGCGAUACAUUUUUCUGUCUGUGUUAUAUAUUUUCAACUAUUGCUAUUUGACAAUCUGAACUUAGAUUUGAACAUUUCUGCAUUCAUGCUUCUCAAAUCUUCUCUGAAAGCUUGGCAAGAUUAUCAUUACUCAUUAUUGGAAUAUAAUUGGUCUUUUUUUUAAUGGCUACAGAUUCAUAGAUAAAAUUUCUUCAUUGUGCCGUUCUUUAUUUUAGUUUUGAUCGCAAGACACAAAUUGAAUUGUGAACCUGUUUUUUGCAGUGUGGUUCGUCAACGUAAUGAUCUUCUUUCAUCAUAGCAUGGAGCCUCAA